GAUGAACGCUAGCGGCAGGCCUAACACAUGCAAGUCGAGGGGUAGAAGCUUUCGGGCUUUGAGACCGGCGCACGGGUGCGUAACGCGUAUGCAAUCUGCCUUGUACUGAGGGAUAGCCCAGAGAAAUUUGGAUUAACACCUCAUAGUAUUUUAGUGUGGCAUCACAUUAUUAUUAAAGGUUGCGGUACAAGAUGAGCAUGCGUCCCAUUAGCUAGUUGGUAUGGUAACGGCAUACCAAGGCUACGAUGGGUAGGGGUCCUGAGAGGGAGAUCCCCCACACUGGUACUGAGACACGGACCAGACUCCUACGGGAGGCAGCAGUGAGGAAUAUUGGUCAAUGGUCGCAAGACUGAACCAGCCAUGCCGCGUGCAGGAUGAAGCAUCUAUGGUGUGUAAACUGCUUUUGUACGGGAAGAAACACCGCUACGUGUAGCGGCUUGACGGUACCGUAAGAAUAAGGAUCGGCUAACUCCGUGCCAGCCGCCGCGGUAACAC
rnacentral:rRNA from 1 species